rnacentral:rRNA from 1 species
AAUAGAUACCCGGGUAGUCCACGCCGUAAACGAUGGGUGCUAGGUGUCGCGGGCUUUGACCCCUGCGGUGCCGUAGCUAACGCAUUAAGCACCCCGCCUGGGGAGUACGGUCGCAAGAUUAAAACUCAAAGGAAUUGACGGGGACCCGCACAAGCGGUGGAUGAUGUGGUUUAAUUCGAUGCAACGCGAAAAACCUUACCCACCUUUGACAUGUACGGAAUUCCGCAGAGAUGUGGAAGUGCUCGAAAGAGAACCGUAACACAGGUGCUGCAUGGCUGUCGUCAGCUCGUGUCGUGAGAUGUUGGGUUAAGUCCCGCAACGAGCGCAACCCCCAUCAGUAGUUGCCAUCAGGUAACGCUGGGAACUCUACUGAAACUGCCGUCGUAAGACGCGAGGAGGGAGGGGAUGAUGUCAAGUCAUCAUGGCCUUUAUGCCCAGGGCUACACACGUGCUACAAUGGGGCGUACAAAGGGCUGCCACUUAGCGAUAAGGAGCCAAUCCCAAAAAACGCCUCUCAGUUCAGAUCGC